CCUACGGGCGGCAGCAGUGAGGAAUAUUGGUCAAUGGACGAGAGUCUGAACCAGCCAAGUAGCGUGAAGGAUGACUGCCCUAUGGGUUGUAAACUUCUUUUAUAAAGGAAUAAAACGAGGCACGUGUGCCUUUUUGCAUGUACUUUAUGAAUAAGGAUCGGCUAACUCCGUGCCAGCAGCCGCGGUAAUACGGAGGAUCCGAGCGUUAUCCGGAUUUAUUGGGUUUAAAGGGAGCGUAGAUGGGUUGUUAAGUCAGUUGUGAAAGUUUGCGGCUCAACCGUAAAAUUGCAAUUGAUCCUGGCAGUCGUGAGUACAGUUGAGGUAGGCGGAAUUCGUGGUGUAGCGGUGAAAUGCUUAGAUAUCACGAAGAACCCCGAUUGCGAAGGCAGCUUACUAAACUGUGACUGACAUUGAUGCUCGAAAGUGUGGGUAUCAAACAGGAUUAGAUACCCGUGUAGUC
rnacentral:rRNA from 1 species